rnacentral:rRNA from 1 species
UAGCCUACGGGACGCAGCAGUGGGGAAUAUUGCACAAUGGGGGAAACCCUGAUGCAGCGACGCCGCGUGAGUGAAGAAGUAUUUCGGUAUGUAAAGCUCUAUCAGCAGGGAAGAUAAUGACGGUACCUGAGUAAGAAGCCCCGGCUAACUACGUGCCAGCAGCCGCGGUAAUACGUAGGGGGCAAGCGUUAUCCGGAUUUACUGGGUGUAAAGGGAGCGUAGACGGCAGCGCAAGUCUGGAGUGCAAUGCCGGGGCCCAACCCCGGAACUGCUUUGGA